AAAUCAUGGUGAGGACAUUUCUUAAGUAUUUCCUUAAAUCUCCCCUAACUCUCAUAGAUUGAUUCUCCUUUAAAUUGAGAAAAAGAAGUGAUAUCAUUUCUAAGUUU